UCCCGCCUCAACUGGUCCUCAGCCAUCUAAAUCAAGGUAUUUCCCGCCUCAACUGGUCCUCAGCCAUCUAAAUCAAGGUAUUACCCACCUCAGCCAUCUAAAUCAAGGUAUUACCCACCUCAGCCAUCUAAAUCAAGGUAUUACCCACCUCAGCCAUCUGAAUCAAGGUAUUACCCACCUCAGCCAUCUGAAUCAAGGUAUUACCCACCAAGUACCACGUUACUCCCCACAUACUACACUAUCACUACGUCUCCACCUGCAGUAGCCGGGCAGCCGCCGCCGCCACCAUCACUACCUGCAGCAGAUGUCACCAUCACCUGCAGCAGCCGUCACCACCACCACCUGCAGCAGCCGUCACCGACACCUGCAGCAGCACCGCAGUUGCUACCAUGACCCUAGACACCAACUCCUCCACCAUCUUUACAAGGCAAUGAGGCAGAACCACACAACAGCUCUACAUCCUUUGUAAAAUCAGGGAGGCCAAAUUACUAGAAGCUCGUAAUCUGAACUCUUUUUCAAGACACAUUCUGAUGAAGACUAGAACUAGCAGCUCUUGUCAUGAUGCAGGUAUUUAGUAACAGGAUUAUUAAGAGUCGUGGUGGAAAGAGUGACGACUUCAUAUAAUAGCCGUAGCCGAAGAAUCGAAGACCUCACAUAAUGGUCGUAAUAGCACCAGCAGCACCACCUGCGAGUCUCAUGCAUGGCUGUCUUCAUGCAUCACCCACUCCUCUCUGUGCUGAGCUCCAGGGUGGGUGCCCCCUCCCUCCUCUUCACCAGUCUUCUUACCGACUCUCUCUCAUUACUCUUCUCCAAAGCUAAGACAAGUUGUUCUCAUCGUUGCUAAAUAAAGAGUUUGGUUCAUGAACUGUCUAGCUGAGCGUUAGUGUUUAUGACUCUUAUAUUUAGUUAUUAGGAAGUAUACAGAACUUUUCCCAUUGUCUGCCAACUUAAUUUUGCUGAGGUAAAAUGAUAAUUUUUCUCACGAACUUGCAUUGCCUGUCGUCUAAACAGCUGCGUAUCUAAAUAAGUUUACCUUUGUAAAAUGAAAAUGAACCACCACCACUCAUUGGUUAACUCUUGUAAAACGAUAUUCACCGUAUGCAUUACGAGAGCGCUUGUACAAGAUUUGUUCAUGAACUCAACUGAAACACAUUAAAGAAUGAUCUUGUUUCAGUGUCUGUCCAAAUAGCCAAUAAAAAAGAAAACAAUUUCCCUUGGUGAGCCAUGUAGGUGGAUUCGUAUCCAUGUGCAAUUCACAUAAAAGGUUUGUUUUCAUGCUUUUCUUUUACAAACUGACAAAAUUUCUCUCUUCACAUUUUCUGAUUUUCUUCUGUUCGCCCAUUCGUUGAUGAGAUUUUAAUGUACGUUGAUUCCCCUGCAGAGCUAAGAGAACCUGGGGCACCAGUAGGAACAGCAGAGAUGGCGGAGGCAGCAGCUGCAACAGCAGAGAUGGCAAAGGCAGUAACAAUAAAGUCCGUAGGCAACAGCAAUGGUAGAGACAACCAGAUUAAGACUUCAAGAGCGACACAUGGCAAGCGCCAGGGUGGUCCUGGAAGGGCACUAUCCUUCCCUCUGCCUUCGAUGUCUCUGACGAUCACCACGGGAACUCCAUAUAGUAUUCUUAAAAGACUAAUUUUGUUGAAUUAACCGUCUUCGACUAGUUGUUAAAUUAGUUAUUUAGAAGUAACCAGCUUGAGAGAAAACUCAUAUUUAGAGGAAUAUCAUUGAGAAGACCGGAAUGUGAACACAUCGAUUAAUUAGAGCCUUCUUGAUUAGCGAAAAAAAGUAUUAAAUUUUAGUUUAUACAAUAUAUAUGCAUAUACUUUGCAAACACAGUGUAACUGAAAACAAAGUUUGUAUGGUCUGUAUCAGGAUGAACCCUAACUAGUGAAUGGUUAGUUCUGUUUUUUUUUUUACUCAAUGACUUGUAAAUAGGAAGUCAGGGCAGUUUUUGGAGGUUCUUGUAAAUAGGAAGUCAGGGAAGUUUUUGGAGGCUCUAUGUAGAAGGCAUCAAUGUAACAUUGGCUGUGUACGUUGUGCAAUUCUGCAUUAUGAGAUGCAGAGUACUGCAUUAAUGACUUUAAACAAUUGUUUUAGUUUUGUUGCAUAUUGUUCGAAAUUUAUAGUAUUGUAAACUGUUUAUUGUUGUUUUAUGGCGGCUGAGAGAUUUAUGAGAAUGUUUAUACCAUGUAUAUAUAAAUCAUGAGUUGAUUUACUAUACUGUUUAAAUUUUAUUAUGUUACAUGUAUACUAUAUGGUAUUUUAAAUAUAGGUGCUAUUAUUUGUGUAGUAACUGAUAAUACAAACAAUUGUUCCUAUAUAUCUAAUAUCUACAAAUUAUAUAUCACAUGCUGCAUAUAAAUGCACGAAACACGUUUUUAUAUAUGAUUCAUUUAUUCCACUGGCAUUUAAUCUCAGCGGAUUGGCUUUACAAUUUCCAACACUGAUGGCCGUGUUUGUUGCCACAUUGCGUGUUUCAGGUCUCUCCCACCAAACUAGGCUAAGCAACAGGGUAUAUUAUCACCCACACUUCCCUGUACCUAACACCAUAAAAACUAUGUAUGACAAACUAGGAUUUAACAAGUUAGAUAACAACGAAUAGUAAUCAGGAUAUUCCUACUUCAUACUGACACUAGUUGGACAGUAAUCUUGAAAAUAUUUCCUAGUUUUACGUACUGCAUUUUGUGUUGUUAUGAUAGACGUCUUUGAGUGAAAUCUUAGUGAUCUCCGAAAUUUGGCGUUGUUAUAUAAUUAUAAUGUUCAUAGUGGAAGUUUUGCAAUACUGCAUGACAAAUAAUUGCGUGCCUAUAUUGCCGCAAUUGAACAAUCAUAUAUAUUCCAAUUUUCCCUCCAUUUCAAGAUAUUGUAUUUCUUAAAGAAUCGAAGUCUGUUUUAAUUAAUUACCUACCUUGGACUAGUUGGUUAAAUCACUGUUCGCUUAUUAAAUAACGUGUACUAUUUUGUUAUAAUUAUAACGUAGCUGUCUCUUUCAUUUUAUACCAUAGUGAUUUUAGAAUCUUGAGACCGUGAAUAGGAGUUUAACCGACCAGUCUUCCAAGGGCGUGAAUGUGUUUUUCAGACUGUCUCGACUGUGACAAGAUCAACCAGUUUAGGCCUGAUACAAGCAAUAUACAUGUUUUGCGCAGAUUGGCGUAGAGUAAAUUAACCACAGUUUAGUUAUAAUUGAUGUGAUAAUCUCAGAGUCGAUACCAGUCUGAUGUUACCUGCCCGUUUUAGAAGGUAUGGAUGCAGCCUAGCAGACUUUUUAAUACAUAUAAAGUGUACAUAUCUAAUGCAAGAGUGGGACGUAGCGUGUCCUGGAGCAAGAUUUUUAAUAGUUAAUGGAAUAGUUACAUUUGUUUCAGUGUACAGCGCCACACGUCUUGCCCUUCAACGAAGCAUUUUUUUAAGUUAGAAGGAUUUAGCUAUGCGUCAUUCACUGUCGUAUGUUACAUGACAAUUUCAUUAUAUUGUCAAUUUGA